rnacentral:rRNA from 1 species
UACGGAGGGUGCAAACGUUGCUCGGAAUCAUUGGGCGUAAAGCGCACGUAGGCGGCCUGAUAAGUCGGGUGUGAAAGCCCUGGGCUCAACCCAGGAAGUGCACUCGAAACUGUCAGGCUUGAGUAUGGAAGAGGGUCUCGGAAUUCCCGGUGUAGAGGUGAAAUUCGUAGAUAUCGGGAGGAACACCAGUGGCGAAGGCGGAGACCUGGGCCAAUACUGACGCUGAGGUGCGAAAGCGUGGGGAGCAAACAGG